GACGUAGGGGGCCAGCGUUGUUCGGAAUUACUGGGUGUAGAGGGUUCGUAGGCGGUGCGGCAAGUUGGGAGUGAAAUCUCUGGGCUUAACCCAGAGGCUGCUUCCAAAACUGCUGUGCUUGAGUGUGGGAGAGGCGCGUGGAAUUGCAGGUGUAGCGGUGAAAUGCGUAGAUAUCUGCAGGAACACCCGUGGCGAAAGCGGCGCGCUGGACCACUACUGACGCUGAGGAACGAAAGCUAGAGGAGCAAACAGG
rnacentral:rRNA from 1 species